rnacentral:rRNA from 1 species
CAAUAGCGUAUAUUUAAGUUGUUGCAGUUAAAAAGCUCGUAGUUGGAUUUCGGGUGGGACGCAGCGGUCUCGCAUUGCGUUUGUACUGCUGCAGCCCUCCUUCUUGCCGGGGGCGGCCUCUCGGACUUCACUGUCUGGGGGUCAGAAUCGGCGAUGUUACUUUGAGUAAAUUAGAGUGUUCAAAGCAAGCUUACGCUCUGAAUAUAAUAGCAUGGGAUAACACGACAGGACUCUGGCCUAUCGUGUUGGUCUAUAGGACCAGAGUAAUGAUUAAGAGGGACAGUCGGGGGCAUUCGUAUUCCGUUGUAAGAGGUGAAAUUCUUGGAUUUACGGAAGACGAACAUCUGCGAAAGCAUUUGCCAAGGAUGUUUUCAUUG